GAUGAACGCUGGCGGCGUGCCUAAUACAUGCAAGUCGAGCGAACGGACGAGAAGCUUGCUUUUCUGAUGUUAGCGGCGGACGGGUGAGUAACACGGGGAUAACCUACCUAUAAGACUGGGAUAACUUCGGGAAACCGGAGCUAAGACCGGAUAAUAUUUUGAACCGCAUGGUUCAAAAGUGAAAGACGGUCUUGCUGUCACUUAUAGAUGGAUCCGCGCUGCAUUAGCUAGUUGGUAAGGUAACGGCUUACCAAGGCAACGAUGCAUAGCCGACCUGAGAGGGUGAUCGGCCACACUGGAACUGAGACACGGCACAGACUCCUACGGGAGGCAGCAGUAGGGACUCCUACGCAAUGGGCGAAAGCCUGACGGAGCAAAGCCGCGUGAGUGAUGAAGGUCUUCGGAUCGUAAAACUCUGUUAUUAGGGAAGAACAUAUGUGUAAGUAACUGUGCACAUCUUGACGGUACCUAAUCAGAAAGCCACGGCUAACUCCGUG
rnacentral:rRNA from 1 species